rnacentral:misc_RNA from 1 species
UUAAGUUCAGCGGGUAGUCUUACCUGAUUUGAGGUCAAAAUUGUCAAAGUUGUCCGAGACGGACGGUUAGAAGCGAGUCUAUAACAGUCAUCCCAAUCCACGGCGUAGAUAAUUAUCACACCAAUAGAUUAGGGGACUAACCCACUAAUACGUUUUAGAAGAGCAGACCACACGAGGCGGACCUGCAACCCCCACAUCCA